CGGAACGUGCCCAGUCGUGGGGGAUAACUACUCGAAAGAGUAGCUAAUACCGCAUACGAUCUGGGGAUGAAAGCGGGGGACCUUCGGGCCUCGCGCGAUUGGAGCGGCCGAUGGCAGAUUAGGUAGUUGGUGGGAUAAAAGCUUACCAAGCCGACGAUCUGUAGCUGGUCUGAGAGGACGACCAGCCACACUGGGACUGAGACACGGCCCAGACUCCUACGGGAGGCAGCAGUGGGGAAUUUUGGACAAUGGGCGAAAGCCUGAUCCAGCAAUGCCGCGUGCAGGAUGAAGGCCUUCGGGUUGUAAACUGCUUUUGUACGGAACGAAAAAGCUUCUCCUAAUACGAGAGGCCCAUGACGGUACCGUAAGAAUAAGCACCGGCUAACUACGUGCCAGCAGCCGCGGUAAUACGUAGGGUGCGAGCGUUAAUCGGAAUUACUGGGCGUAAAGCGUGCGCAGGCGGUUAUGUAAGACAGAUGUGAAAUCCCCGGGCUCAACCUGGGAACUGCAUUUGUGACUGCAUGGCUAGAGUACGGUAGAGGGGGAUGGAAUUCCGCGU
rnacentral:rRNA from 1 species